rnacentral:rRNA from 1 species
CCAAAAAUCUAGCCUAUUCUCCACCUCUCCUUUUAAACCCCAAUCAAAAUAUUUCAACAGCCUAGUAAAGAAGAUUAAAAAACUUUUAAGAGCUAUAAGCCGUACCGCAAGGGAAAGAUGAAAUAAAAAUGAAAUAAAUCUUAAGCACAAAAAAGUAGAGAUCCCCCCUCGUACCUUUUGCAUUAUGGUUUAGCUAGUCUAACUAGGCAAAAAGACCUUAAGUCUAACCCCCCGAAACUAAGUGAGCUACUUUGGGGCUGCUUAAUGAGCUAACCCGUCUGUGUUACAAAAUAGUGGGGUGACCCCAAAAUAGAGGUGAUAUACCUAACGAACUUAGUCAUAGCUGGUUUCUCAAGAAAAGAAUUUAAGUCCAACCUAAAGUAACCCCAAUCUACAUAAAUUAGCACAUCACUUUAGAGCAAUUCAAAUGAGGUACAGCCCAUUUGAUACAGGAUACAACCUUAACUAACGGGUAACAUUAAAUCUACACCUUCAAGUAGGCCUAAGAGCAGCCACCCCUUAAAAAGCGUCAAAGCUUAAUCAUGUUCACAUCAAUUUAAAAUCCCCCAUUGACCCCUUUAACUGUACUGAGAAUUUCUAUAUCAUAUAGAACAUUUUAUGCUAAAACUAGUAACAAGAGAAAACCCUCUCCCCCAUGCAAAUUCAAGCCAGCAAGAACCCAUCACUGGCAACUAACAGGCCUAAACAAAAGUAGUAACAUCACUAGAAAACCCUACCCUCACAACUGUUAACCUAACACCAGAGCAUUUCAAGAAAGAUUAAAAGAAAAAGAAGGAACUCGGCAAACCCUAGUCCCGCCUGUUUACCAAAAACAUCGCCUCUUGCUCAUAUAAGAGGUCAAGCCUGCCCAGUGACUCUGUUCAACGGCCGCGGUAUCCUAACCGUGCGAAGGUAGCGUAAUCACUUGUUUUCUAAAUAAAGACCAGUAUGAAAGGCAUCACGAGGACUAAACUGUCUCCUCUUUCCAAUCAGUGAACCUAAUCUCCCCGUGAAGAAGCGGGGAUUACCCUAUAAGACGAGAAGACCCUAUGGAGCUUAAAACAUUAUAACAUUUGCCACCCGACUCAAUCACUCAGAUGACCCCUCCCCCAAAUGGCACUUUGAUUUUAUGUUUUCGGUUGGGGUGACCGCGGAGAAAAACUGAUCCUCCACGAUGAAAGGGACUUUCCCCUAAACAAUAAGCUACAUCUUUAUGUAUCAAUAAAUUGACAUCCAUUGACCCAAUAACUUGAUUAACGAACCAAGUUACCCUAGGGAUAACAGCGCAAUCCACUUCAAGAGCCCCUAUCGACAAGUGGGCUUACGACCUCGAUGUUGGAUCGGGGUACCCCAGUGGUGUAGUCGCUACCAAAGGUUCGUUUGUUCAACGAUUAAAACCCCACGUGAUCUGAGUUCAGACCGGAGCAAUCCAGGUCAGUUUCUAUCUAUAAAGAGCUCUUUUCAGUACGAAAGGACCAAAAUAGCAUGGCCAAUACCACCUCAAGCCAUAGUUAAUCAUUUUAGACCCCUGCUCAAAAAAUUAUUAACCUCACCUAACACUUCAAAAGAACAGUUAU